rnacentral:rRNA from 1 species
GACGAACGCUGGCGGCGUGCUUAACACAUGCAAGUCGAACGAGGCCCCGCCCUCGGGUGGGUGUUCUAGUGGCGAACGGGUGAGUAACACGUGGGCAACCUGCCCCCGGCUCUGGGAUAACUCCAAGAAAUUGGGGCUAAUACCGGAUAUGUCCGCCGACCGCAUGGUCUGGUGGUGGAAAGGGUUUCCGGCUGGGGAUG